GACGAACGCUGGCGGCGUGCCUAAUACAUGCAAGCCGAACGAGAGCGACCGGUGCUUGCACUGGUCAAUCUAGUGGCGAACGGGUGAGUAACACGUGGGUAACCUGCCCAUCAGAGGGGGAUAACAUUCGGAAACGGAUGCUAAAACCGCAUAGGUCUUCGAACCGCAUGGUUCGAAGAGGAAAAGAGGCGCAAGCUUCUGCUGAUGGAUGGACCCGCGGUGCAUUAGCUAGUUGGUGAGGUAACGGCUCACCAAGGCCGUGAUGCAUAGCCGACCUGAGAGGGUGAUCGGCCACAUUGGGACUGAGACACGGCCCAAACUCCUACGGGAGGCAGCAGUAGGGAAUCUUCCGCAAAGGACGCAAGUCUGACGGAGCAACGCCGCGUGAGUGAAGAAGGUUUUCGGAUCGUAAAACUCUGUUGUUAGAGAAGAAUAAGUGCUAGAGUAACUGUUAGCGCCUUGACGGUAUCUAACCAGAAAGCCACGGCUAACUACGUG
rnacentral:rRNA from 1 species